UCCUGACUGACCGAUAGUGAACCAGUACCGUGAGGGAAAGGCGAAAAGAACCCCGGCGAGGGGAGUGAAAAAGAACCUGAAACCGUGUACGUACAAGCAGUGGGAGCACGCUUAGGCGUGUGACUGCGUACCUUUUGUAUAAUGGGUCAGCGACUUAUAUUCUGUAGCAAGGUUAACCGAAUAGGGGAGCCGAAGGGAAACCGAGUCUUAACUGGGCGUUAAGUUGCAGGGUAUAGACCCGAAACCCGGUGAUCUAGCCAUGGGCAGGUUGAAGGUUGGGUAACACUAACUGGAGGACCGAACCGACUAAUGUUGAAAAAUUAGCGGAUGACUUGUGGCUGGGGGUGAAAGGCCAAUCAAACCGGGAGAUAGCUGGUUCUCCCCGAAAGCUAUUUAGGUAGCGCCUCGUGAAUUCAUCUCCGGGGGUAGAGCACUGUUUCGGCAAGGGGGUCAUCCCGACUUACCAACCCGAUGCAAACUGCGAAUACCGGAGAAUGUUAUCACGGGAGACACACGGCGGGUGCUAACGUCCGUCGUGAAGAGGGAAACAACCCAGACCGCCAGCUAAGGU
rnacentral:rRNA from 1 species